rnacentral:rRNA from 1 species
GCAUGGAGCAUGUGGCUUAAUUUGACUCAACGCGGGAAAUCUUACCGGGUCCGGACACACUGAGGAUUGACAGGCAAUAUCUCAUGUUAACGGUAAGUUUACUUACCGCUUAACAUCAGUGUUAAAUAUGCUAGUCCUUUCAUGAUUAUGUGAUAGGUGGUGCAUGGCCGUUCUUAGUUCGUGGAGUGAUCUGUCUGCUUAAUUGCGUUUCACUAAGGGCCCAUAAAUUCAAGGUAGUUAGCUCUCGUCGCUCUAUGGACCCCUUAACUCCAAUAUUCUUAUUGUGUUAAGCGCGUGUCUUUAUUUUAAGAGUUUUAAGACACUGCGCAUGCUGUUGGGCUCUGAAAGCAACGAACGUGACCGCAACGUCUUGUUGCCUUAAACUAGCGUAUAUUGCAAUUUAUUGCAAUAUCGCUUACAGAGGCUAUUUAAAACUAGACGGACCGCUGUUUC